GGGUUUGUCUUCAUGAAGAAUCAUCCUAAAACAUAUCUUGUAGUUCUGCACUGGGCAAAGAAGGACAUCUUAUUUCAGGUUGGCAUCCAAAAGAGCAGAGUUAGAACUGCUGAAGAGAUAUUGAAGUAUCAGAUCAGGUUCCGCCACAGUUCUCCAUGAGACAGAAAACCGUGUAUUCUAGCUUGGCAGACAUCAAAUCCAAAGGAA